rnacentral:lncRNA from 10 species
AUCAAGGAAAAGGAAGAAAAUGGAUCCAUGAAAAGGAGGCUCUAACUCAAGAGGAACACAAAGGGAAUCCCCAACAUGCUGAAGAAAAAAAAAAUCCAGGAUGACCAUUCUGUUGCAGCCCAGAAUGGAGCAGAUUAUUAAAAGAUAACUGGUGCUGUCUUCCCAGCUUCAGACUCCGUCUCAAGAAUAAGGAAGCAGAGAAGUUACCGUCAGCCAAGUCUCAACUAAACAUGGACCCAACUUCAUACAAGCAAAUGGCAUUCCACAUUCACCAAGCACCCUCCUUGGGCUAGGCACUGCAUCAUAUGGGAGGCGAGAGAAAGGGACAGCAGCUUGGCCCAAGCUGGCCACGUGGCGCAAUGCUGAAGGCUCUUCCCUUCCUCCAUCCUUCCUGGUUUCCCACACUGAUAGGGAGCAAAAUUCGUCUCUCCAGUUCUCCCGUUUCUUCCUCCCUCCUCCUCACCCUCCUCGUUAGUUAGGAGCUGCGACGCCUGGCUCUGGGGAGGUGCUGGCACUGAGUGUUUUACAGCUCUUUAAUUCUGCCUUAUUAUCCUCUGUUCCUACAACCAAGGUCUUUGACUGCUGCUUUCAUUGUGUUGUCAGGUUUCUCUUUGAUGCCUAAAUUAAUACUAAUGGGAAGCCCUCUCAGCUGUUUGCUUACUUUUCCUUCUGCUCAGUUUCUCCCAGUUGAAUAUUCCCCAGUCCGUGCUGUGCACUGAUCUGUCAGCCCUUUCUCGGAUCCACUUUAAAAGAAGCCUGAGUAUCUUACACACGGUUAGCCACUCUCGAGCGGGGUAAUUCAGACGGUGAGUAGGGAAGAAGAUUGUAUGGAAAUCUGCCUGUUUUCCCAUCCGGUCGCCGCCCGCUUGAAACUGCAGAGCAUUGGCUCAGCUUCUUCGUCACUUGGGCGGAAUGAUUCUGCCCCACACACUUGUUAGUGUUUCUUAUUCGACGAUUCUUCUAGGGGCCAAUCCCUGCCAUUUGCGGGGCUCACGAAAGGCUCUCCUGCCCCCACUUUCUUUCAUGGCCUGUUAAUAUCUAAUAUUUCAGCUCUUCAGAAGUUGUUCCUAUAGGUUUUUUCAGGGUCGAACCAAAGGAAGAAUCACAAACAACUCUGAGAGGUUUUGCAUACUAAAGCAAUGAUUAUUAGUACCCAUUUGAACUGGGGACAGAUAGCUGACAGCAAGACUGAGACAGAGAGUUCUCAGGCUAGGGUGAGUGGGUGAGGAACCACAUACCUCUUCCCAACUUUGCCUAGGAGCAGCUGUGAUUUUAAGGAAAAAGAAAUGUUAGCCACCUUCCCCUCCCAAGAUCAUUUAUCCUGGUUUCUUUCCCACCCUAAGCAGCCAAUAUUCAACAAAUAUUUAUCAAGAGCAUAGGCCAGGUGGGGUGGCUCACGCCUGUAAUCCCAGCACUUUGGGAGGCCGAGGCGGGCGGAUCACCUGAGGUCGGGAGUUGGAGACCAGCCUGACCAACAUGGUCUACUAAAAAUACAAAAUUAGCUGGGCGUGGUGGUGCAUGCCUGUAAUCCCAGCUACUCAAGAGGCUGAGGCAGGAGAAUGGCUUGAACCCAGGAGGCAGAAGUUGCAGUGAGCCAAGAUGGUGCCAUUGCACUCCAGCCUGGGCAACAAGAGUGAAACUCCAUCUAAACAAACAAAAACAAAACAAAAUAAAAAAGCCUAAAGUUCUGGCCAGAGUACAAACAGAAAGAAGUAGAACAUAAAGAUAAAAGUCAAUUGGUCACCAAUCUUAAAUACCUUCUAGGUUCAGAAUACAAGCCACCACAGAGACCUACAAAGAACACAAACAUACAGGUCUUGUCUUUAAAAACUUAUAGUUUAGGGCCAGGCAUGGUGACUCACACCUGUAGUCCCAGUACUUUGGGAGGCUAAGGUAGGAGGAUCGCUUGAGCCCAGGAGUUCAAGACCAGCCUGGGCAACAUAGUGAGAUCCUGUCUCUACCAAAAAUUAAAACAUUAGCUGGGCAUAGUUGCAUGUACCUGCAGUCCCAACUACUUGGGAGGCUGAGGCAGGAAGAUUUCUUGAGCCUAGAAGUUCAAGGCUACAGUGAGCCAUGACUAUACCACUACACUCUAGCCUGGGUGACAGAGUGAGACCCUGUCUCUCAAAAAAAAACUUACAAUCUAAGGUACAAAGAGACACACACAUAGUUGGGGGGGGCGGGAUUUGCAAGCAAUACCUUCAUACGUUAUACGUAUACACCCAUAUAUAGCAAUACAAAUUUUAUAUAUCUAUUCUCCCCAUAUGUGUCUCUUCAACCCUUAGACUAUAAAAUCUUAUACAUAUACAUACACAUAAUGCUCAAUUCAUAGAAACAAGUAAAGCUGCUCCUCAACUUACAAUGCAGUUACAUCCUGAUAAACCCAUCAUAGGUUGAAAAUCUCAUAAGUCAAAAGUGCUUUUUCAAUUUAUAUUUUCAAUUUACAAUGGAUUUAUCCAGACGUAGCCCCAUCAUUAAGCCAAGAUUGCAUAUGGCUUUUGCACCACUGCAAAGUUGAAAAAUUGUAAGUUGAACCAUGGUAAGUCAAGGACCAUGUGUACAAAUUAAUAACCUCUCAUUGCUGAACAGGCAAAGUCUGAAUCCCAUGGGCUAGAGGAGCUACCCACUACGCCAUUCCCCUCUUAGUUUUCUUUAAUAGCCUCAACUCAGGAAAUUUUUCUCCUUUUCUUCGUUUUGUUAUUGCUUCUCCUCCAUCUCUUCCAUUGUUUCCUCUUAUACUCCUCACAGUCUCAUAUUAGCCAUCCAGGAUUUAUUCACUAAUGCUUUUUUCUUUUCCCCACUAUUUUCCUCCCUUUGGUUGGUUGGUUGACUUUUUCUUUUUCCUUUAAGAGUAUUUUUUUCUACUUGGUCUUCCAAAUUAUUAACUUGAAUUUCUCAAAUCAUAGCCUUUAAUUGCAAAGUCUUCUUUGAACUGUCCUUGAAUUCCCUUAAGUCACCUUAUUUUCCUUAAUUAAAGUUGACAAAUAUCUCCCAGGCUGCUCCACUUUAUUCAGAUUGUUCUCUUUGAUCUUCACUUACUUGGCUGAAGGGUGUUCUUGUAUGUGUUGUUAUUGUUACUUGCCUGCUUUUAGGGGCCUCACCCAGUUGUUAGAAUCGCCAUGGAGCCCAAGUUUUUAAUUGCUCUGAGCUGCCUGCCAGCCCCCCAACUGCUGGGCUCAGGACAGACAACAAGUUUAGAGCUGGGAAUGGAGGGGGAGUGGGAUGGAGUCAGGUUGCCAUCUGCCUCAAAUCCCUGAGAAACCUUUGGGAAUUGAGCAUUUAAAUCACACUCCACUGUAUUUUCAAGAAUCCCACAUUUAGAGUCAAUGACCUGGAUUCCAGUGUGGUGUCUUAUUCACCAUCUGAGUGAUCUUGAGCACGUAUAAUGUGAGGUUCCUCUUCCUCGAGCAAAAAUUGAGGAUUUGCAAUAUUGCCCUCCAUGCCUCCCCAGGAUUUGUUGUGAGGAUCAAGUAAAACGAUACCUCAGUGCCAAACACUGGUGUGUUUAUGGUGGCUAUGGUUCCUAAUCCUAGCUUCUAUUCUUUCUUUGGCUAAAGUAAUAGAAAUGGAAAAAGAAUGCACAUGAAAAAAAAAUUGUGAAAUAUAUACAGUUGCUAGAGCCCAACAGAGAAAUGCCUACAAACAGAACAAUUCUAGAAGAUUUUCAAGAAAACUAUACAUUUAUUGUUUAACCCAGACUACAGAUAGGGAGAAGGAAGAAGGGCCACUGCAAACACACACCAGUGCCUGCUCCCUGGCUAACUACCAAGCAGGAGUGGAGAGAGCAAGAGAGGAAGAGGAGGUAGGGGAGAGGAGAGGAAGUGAUUAAGCACAGCAGUUUGAGAUCAGAGAGACAUGCUGGAGACCCCCUUCACCAGUCUCCAAUGACAAAAUGAAAACUUUAGUCAAAAUCAGUUUAACAAAGUGUAUUUGUUAAAUUUUAUUUGAUCAAAGAGCGAUUCACGAAGAGGCAGCACUCAGGACCAGAAGAGGUUCAGAGAACUCUACUCCAAACUGUGGGCAUUGAGUACUCACAGGCAGGAAAAGGCUGAAGAGAGCAGAAACAAAGAACACCAAGUGGAUCUGUCAUUUCAAAGUUACUUUCCUGAAACACACAGAUACAUAAGAAAAUGGCUUAAAUGAAAAAACAGACCACUCCAAGGGAGGAAAAGGAUGGAGGUGACACUGUGACUUGUGUCUUCAUAAGAAAAGGAAGAGAUACCAGGAUCACAGGCACACAGAAGAAAGGCUAUGUGAUGACAUAGCGAGAAGGUGGUCUUCUGCAAGCCAAGAAGAGAGCCCUCACCAGAAAUCAACCCUGCCAGCACCUUGAUCUUAGCCUUUUAGGCUCUAGGAUUGUGAGAAAAGAAAUUUCAGUUGUUUAAGCCACCCAGUACGUGGCAUUCUGUUAUGGUAUCCCCAGCAGAUUCAUACAGACCCCUACCAUGACCUGAACCCCCUCCUCAUCUCUGUUGUUGAAAGUGAAAACAUGAGUAUACAUAUCUAUGGAACAUGGAGGGGAAGCCAUGAAAACAAUCAAUACUUCCAGCAAAAUGGAAAGUGUUUAAAAUCAUUCACAUUAGCAAAAAGGGAAAAAGGUACUGCAGGGUCUUCCAAUUUUUGGGUAAAGAAAAAAUUAGUCCCACUGAGUUUAUCAGCAUUUAUUUUUUAAAUUACUUAAAAUAACAAGUGAAAAAGUUUAUCUUGUCAUUCCAUGGCAAAAAAAUAAAUAAAUUUUUGCAUUACAGUUCCUGUUGUAUUUUUAGUUAGGAGGUAGAAUCUUGGGAAUGAUGUUUUGAUUUUUCCAAGUGUUCAUUUCAUUCAAAGCAAAUUAAUCAGAGAAUCACAACCGGUAUAAAUCCAUCAUCACAAGUGGCCCUGAUCUCAGAACACUACUGUGCUGAAUCCUGAGAUAAAUCUUUAUGUCAGAAAUCCUAUUAUUCAGAAGUACAAUAAAAAUAACAAUCGGAGAUGACAUCAGAACAGGGAGAACAUUGCAUUUUUCUUCUUUGCGUGUCAGAAGAAGUUAACUUCCGCUCAUCACCAGCUGAAAUGAUCGUACAGGAUCCUGCAAAAUAUCUGGGUAGCUCCAACAUAAAUAAUCUUCUGUCCUCUGGGGAAAAUUCUUUUUUCACUCUAUGGCUUCAGAAAAACUGUUGGCAUAGGUACCCAAACACCUUCUGGAGAUGGCAUGGAAAUAUCAUUCAGUGAGUUGAGAAGAGAUAAGGACGUGUUUUUACACUUGUGGAUAAGUAGACACUGCUUGGAGAAUUACGAUCACUCUUGUCAACACGUCCUUUCUCAACUCUUAGUCUGUGGCUUAUUUAAAGACAUUAAAGGGAGUAUUGGUUACUGUGGGGGGGGUGCAAUUAGGUAGAAGAAAUUGGCAAAAGUGCAAUACAGAUAAAAUUGAAAAGAUGAGGCAAGGCAAGAGGAAACAUCUGGAGCACCUGGCAGGGGUCAUUUUAGGAUUCUCGCCUGAAGUGGCUCAUUAUUGACUCUUCAUUGUUAGCCUAUAAUCUGGUUUUUACUGCCAUUGCAGAUUUCUCUAAAAACAAAUAGGAUAAAAGCAAACAUUACCAUUUGCUUUUAAGGAUCACAAGAUGUCCUCUCAACUCUCACAUGCAGAUCCUAUUUCAAUAAUUUCACAACUAAUUGGAGUUUUUGCCAUGACUGCUCCUCAAAACACCACUUAACUUGAAGAACACAUCACAGAGAAACUAUAGUCAGAAUCUGCCUGAGUCACUCGUGCCUGAUCACAAGUCGAAGAGAAAGCCCUGCAACUGUGUUUCUUGGGUCUGACUAGAAGCUACGUGAUGUGGGCUCACAGCAACACUCUGACAGCUAAUAGAAGGGAGGACAUGGGAGAAGAAGAUCAUGGGGAAGAAGAUGGCUCCACAGGCUUUUCUCCAUGGAUUUUAGAAACACCCUCUAAAGCUCCUCCUUUGAGAACUGUUAGAAGCCUGGAAGAUGAGGGAAAGGUGAGAAAACAUAUAAAGACACAGAAAAAAAUUGCAAAUCAGAAUGCAGUCCAUUUGAACAAGAGAAUCCUAAGAAAGAACAAAGUGGGGGAUGGUGAAGAAGAAAAGAGGAAAGGUCUAGAAGGGAAUUUGGGACAGAGCCUGCCCUGGAAAGACUGAUCAGCAGCUUCUUGGGGGAGACACGUGGAUGACAUAAGUAACACAGGUAAGCUUGCAGGCUUUCCUAUAGUCUGUGAGUCCCCGUGUUGAUUGAUUUAUUCAAAAUGAGAAUUCUGUGGCAUGAUGAUAACACCACAACUUUAGAAAUCUUACUUUAGACCUGUAACACUCCCGUACAGACUUUUAAAUAAUUUUAAAUAGAAGCUGGACCUAAAGUUGUAUAAGAAAAUGUCUGGAGAUUUUGAUUUGCUGCUUGUAAAAGUGAAGUCACAGUUAUGAAAAGCCCAUUUAGUUAGGAAUUGUUGAUAUGGCUAACCAGUUCGGUCAGGCCGUAUACCUCUGAUAGAGCUUGGAUCUGUGUCCCCACCCAAAUCUCAUGCUGAAAUGCAAUCCCCAGUGCUAGAGGUAAGGCCUGGUGGGAAGUGAUUGGAUCAAGGGAGCAGAUUUCCCCCUUGGUGCUGUUUUCGUGAUAGUGAAUGAGUUCUUGUGAGAUCUGAUUGUUUAAAAGUGUGUGGCUCCUCCCCCACCUUCUUCCUCCUGCUCUUGCUGUGUAAGACACCUGCUCCUGCUUUGCCUUCCGCCAUGAGUAAAAGCUCCCUGAGGCCUCCCCAGAAGCAGAUGCUGCCAUGUUUCCUGUACAGCCUGCAGAACCGUGAGCCAAUUAAAUCUGUUUUCUUUAUAAAUUACCCAGUCUCAGAUAUUCCUUUAUAUUAGUGCGAGAACAAACUAAUACACCUCCCAGCCUAAGUCAGGUGACUGCACAGAGUGGUACAGACAAACUGUCAGGAUGAAGACUUUCCUGAGGUUAACAUUAGUCUUAUUCACCCACAAAGAGUCAGGAUGCCUUUGACCUUGAGACACUGCCAACCCUUGCCCCACCACCACCUCACAGAUCAAGUUAACUGUGGUUUUCCAGAGGACAACACCAUUGACGUCAAGGGCCAGCCAGUUUUAAAGGCAGCAUCAGAAGAUGUCGUGGUUCUUGGCUGAUAAACUACACUUGCUCAUUGGAAAUAGAGGAAUAGUGCAGGGAGGAGGCUGCUGACAUAGCAGACUGCAUUUCCUUGGGCUUCAGCUCCUUGAUGCUUUUUGGUGGUCAAGAUUGAGGGCUUACCUUUGAGAAGCAGCUGCGGUUGCUACCCAGGUGAACCAAGAACGAGGGAUCGGGUCCACUGCUGUCUCCCAGAAGCUCAGACAUGCCUGGAGCACAGAAAUAGUGGUAAAUGUUUUGAUAUAUGAUGGAGCAACUCAAGGAUUCCACAUCAUUAAUUUGGGAAGACUGAAAAAUAACUUCCGUGUUAUUUUAGCUGAACCAACCAACCAGAAACCCCCACGGCCCUAGCUCAACUGACCCAUGCAUAUAUACCCAUGUACUCUCAUGUAUAUCUACACAAUCAUCAAUAUGAGAAAAGGGCAAAGUAAGAGCCUCUGGACUUUUCCAGAUUGUUCUGCUGCCCCUUUGCAGAAGAUAUAAGAUGACAACAAUUAUUUUGGGGGUAUUGAGAUUCUGAACAUCUAUUUCAUUUCCAACAACAAGUCAAUGUCUUUGCUGAGUGCUAUUCUCUCGAUGGCCUCACUUCUACUAACCCUUGUGUCUGCUGUGAUGCAGACACCCCUCUGCAAACCCAACAGUGAAAACAUAUGGCACUGUGGGUAUUGAGCUGGACAGGACUUAAUUCCUUUUCCAUUCCCUUAGCUAGCACCGGUGCAUUUACUCCCUGAUAGAGUGCUCUAGAAGAUUAGCAACGGCAUUCAUUUUCCGCUAACUGCACACAAACACUGUGAGCCGACUCGGGCUUACUGAUGCCUCAGACAAUGCUGUUUUCCAAGUUUGCUUUUCAUUCUUCUAUGUCUUUUCUUGUGCCAUUUGACCCAGUAUUUCAACUCCGUAGAAAACUAACUUUGGGAUUCUUUUCGUUUAUAUUCAGAUUCUCUUGUCUCCCAUUUUGGGCAGAAUCUUACUAAUAAAUGCUUAAACAGCAACUCCACAAUUAUGAGUGGGUUUUCAUUACCAGACUAAACACCAACUAACUAGUUAUAUAAGUAGUCCUUGACUGGCUUAAUAAAAAUGUAUUUUACUGUUAAGAACAAAUAAUAGAAGGGAAAAUCUUUGUGACAGAGCCUUAAUGCCAAUGAGAAAGGGUUAAGGAUAUUAUAUUUUUGAGUGCAUCAGUAACUUUUUGAGAACAGCAUCCUAAAGGAUGAUGAUCACCUUUUCUACAAAUUAUCGUUCCGUCCUAUUUUCUGGAAAAAAAUCCUGAGAUGGGUGGAUCAUAAGUCUCACUUCAAAUGGCCUCUGAUGUGAUUGUUUUUAAGAAAGAACACAGAUGUGUAUAUAGGCUUGAUGUCCC